UUGCCUUACUGCACAUAUAAUAAAACUGGAAAAAUACAGGAAUUAGUAGGGUCCCUUGGUAAGAAUGGCAUGCAAAUUCAUGAAACGUUUCAUAUGCAA
rnacentral:snRNA from 1 species